rnacentral:rRNA from 1 species
UACGGAGGAUGCAAGCGUUAUCCGGAAUGAUUGGGCGUAAAGCGUCCGCAGGUGGCCCUGAAAGUCUGCUGUCAAAGAGUUUGGCUUAACCAAAUAAAGGCAGUGGAAACUACAGAGCUAGAGUGCGUUCGGGGCAGAAGGAAUUCCUGGUGUAGCGGUGAAAUGCGUAGAUAUCAGGAAGAACACCGGUGGCGAAAGCGUUCUGCUAGGCCGCAACUGACACUGAGGGACGAAAGCUAGGGGAG